AUUGAACGCUGGCGGCAGGCCUAACACAUGCAAGUCGAGCGAGCGGCGGACGGGUGAGUAAUACAUGGGGACUGCCCGAUAGAGGGGGAUAACUACUGGAAAAGGUAGCUAAUACCGCAUAUCACAGGCUAGCCCAUAUGGGAUUAGCUAGUAGGUGAGGUAACGGCUCAACUAGGCGACGAUCCCUAGAUGGUCUGAGAGGAUGAUCCGCCACACUGGGACUGAGACACGGCCCAGACUCCUACGGAGGCAGCAGUGGGGAAUAUUGCGCAAUGGGCGCAAGCCUGAGACAGCCAUGCCGCGUGUAUGAAGAAGGCCCUAGGUUUGUAAAGUACUUUCAGUCGGGAGGCGUUACCGACAGAAGAAGCACCGGCUAACUCCGUGCCAGCCGCCGCGGUAAUAC
rnacentral:rRNA from 1 species